rnacentral:rRNA from 1 species
AACGAACGCUGGCGGCAGGCUUAACACAUGCAAGUCGAGCGCCCCGCAAGGGGAGCGGCAGACGGGUGAGUAACGCGUGGGAACCUACCUGAAGGUACGGAACAACUCCGGGAAACUGGAGCUAAUACCGUAUGUGCCCGAAAGGGGAAAGAUUUAUCGUCUUCAGAUGGGCCCGCGUCAGAUUAGCUAGUUGGUGGGGUAAUGGCCCACCAAGGCGACGAUCUGUAGCUGGUCUGAGAGGAUGAUCAGCCACACUGGGACUGAGACACGGCCCAGACUCCUACGGGAGGCAGCAGUGGGGAAUAUUGGACAAUGGGCGCAAGCCUGAUCCAGCCAUGCCGCGUGAGUGAUGACGGCCUUAGGGUUGUAAAGCUCUUUUGCCAGGGACGAUGAUGACGGUACCUGGAGAAUAAGCCCCGGCUAACUUCGUGCCAGCCGCCGCAGUAAGAC